rnacentral:rRNA from 1 species
AGAGUUUGAUCCUGGCUCAGGAUAAACGCUGGCGGCGCACAUAAGACAUGCAAGUCGAACGGACUUAACCAUUAGUUUACUAUUGGAGCGGUUAGUGGCGGACUGGUGAGUAACACGUAAGCAACCUGCCUGUUAGAGGGGAACAACAGUUAGAAAUGACUGCUAAUACCGCAUAUGCCUUGAGUAUCGCAUGGUACAAGAGGGAAAGGAGCAAUCCGCUAACAGAUGGGCUUGCGUCUGAUUAGAUAGUUGGUGGGGUAACGGCCUACCAAGUCGACGAUCAGUAGCCGCCGG